rnacentral:rRNA from 1 species
GACGAACGCUGGCGGCGUGCUUAACACAUGCAAGUCGAGCGGAGAGGCGAACGGGUGGGUAACACGUGAGUACCCUGUCCUCUUCUUUGGGAUAAGCUUCCGAUAGGGUGUUUAAUACCUUAUGGUUAAGGGUGGGGUUGCGGUCUAUCAGCUUGUUGGUGGGGUGAUGGCCUACCAAGGCUUUGGCGGGUAGCCGGCCUGGGAGGGUGGUCGGUCGCAUGGGGACUGCGAUACGGCCCAGACUCCUGCGGGGGGCAACAGUGGGGGAUAGUGGACAAUGGGCGGAAGCCUGAAGCAGCGAAGCCGCGGGGGGGAGGAGGGGCGGCGGGUUGUAAACUUCUUUUGCUCUAAACGUGUAGGGGUUGAUUAGCGCCGGCUAACUACGUGCCAGCAGCCGCGGUAAUUC